rnacentral:lncRNA from 1 species
GAGAGGGAAGAGGACAGACCCAAGAGUAUUCUCAGUGUGCCCAUCCUGAACCACAAAAAUGAGGACUGGUCCAUUGCAUUUUGGCAGGUUAUAGGUGCUGUCAUGGCUGUGAACAAAAGCAGGCCAAGCACAUGUGCAGGGAGCUUUUUCUCAGAACAAGAUGAGAAAAUGCUGUCGUCACACAUGGUGUUGUUCGGACUGAUCCUGGAAAAUUGUCAGCUGUGUGAGAGUUCUGAACAAGAGAGCAAACGCAACCAGAUGUCACACAGACUUUACUUUUACUUAGUUAGGCACUUUUAUCUAAAAUUAUUCAUCUGUUAA